UAAUUUAUAUACUUUAUUUUGAGCAAACGACACAGUAUACCUGACGAUUGUCUUCGUAUGGUGGGCAUGGCAACGGUCCACAUUUAGUAUUUACCACAUACAUCAGAUGACCAUCAUUUCCGGUUUUUCCAGAUAGAAUAUAUUCAGGAUUGUUAUCUACACAAAUAAAGUUUGAAGCACUAUGAAUAUGACUUCCUGCCGCCAGCAUACACGUAUAUUCCAUAUUCCAGCCAGCAUAACAUGUCCCACGACCUGGAAUAUAUAUUCUGUACCAUAAAGAUCGAUUGCAUGGUAUGUAUAAGAUGAGGUUGGUAUCUUGGGGUUGUUUGGGAGGCAGAGUGUGUUUGCUGGUCCACCAAGAGGAGUGUUGUAGAACUGACCAGCAGUGUAACC
rnacentral:lncRNA from 1 species